rnacentral:rRNA from 1 species
AUGGGCUUAUAUGGUUCCAGCGAACCAGGAUUAGAUUCGGAAAGAUUAAUUAAUCAAUCAUACCCUGCAACCUUGGAAAUACUUUUAUAUUUUGUCUUCCUUAUUGCUUAUGCUGUCAAAUUGCCGAUUAUACCCCUACAUACGUGGUUACCGGAUACCCAUGGGGAAGCACAUUAUCGUACAUGUAUGAUUUUAACGGGGAUAUUAUUAAAGAUGGGAGCAUAUGGAUUGAUUCGGAUCAACAUGGAAUUGUUACCUCAUGCUCAUUAUCUAUUUUCGCCCUGGUUAGUAAUAAUAGGAGCGAUCCAAAUAAUCUAUGCACCUUAA